UGGCGGCAGGCUUAACACAUGCAAGUCGAGCGGUAGCAGAUCUAGCUUGCUAGAUGCUGACGAGCGGCGGACGGGUGAGUAACGCGUAGGAACCUGCCCAGUGUGGGGGAUAGCCCGGGGAAACUCGGAUUAAUACCGCAUACGCUCUACGGAGGAAAGAGGGGGCUUCGGCUCUCGCUAUUGGAUGGGCCUGCGUGAGAUUAGCUAGUUGGUGAGGUAAUGGCUCACCAAGGCGACGAUCUCUAGCUGGUCUGAGAGGAUGAUCAGCCACACUGGGACUGAGACACGGCCCAGACUCCUACGGGAGGCAGCAGUGGGGAAUAUUGCACAAUGGGCGCAAGCCUGAUGCAGCCAUGCCGCGUGUGUGAAGAAGGCUUUCGGGUUGUAAAGCACUUUCAGUGGGGAGGAAGGCCUCGUAGUUAAUAGCUGCGAGGAUUGACGUUACCCACAGAAGAAGCACCGGCUAACUCCGUG
rnacentral:rRNA from 1 species